UACGGAGGGUGCAAGCGUUGUUCGGAAUCACUGGGCGUAAAGGGCGUGUAGGCGGUCUGCUAAGUCUGAUGUGAAAGCCCGAGGCUUACCCUCGGAAGGGCAUUGGAGACUGGCGGGCUAGAGUCCCGGAGAGGAGGGUGGAAUUCCUGGUGUAGCGGUGAAAUGCGUAGAUAUCAGGAGGAACACCGGCGGCGAAGGCGGCCCUCUGGACGGUGACUGACGCUGAUACGCGAAAGCGUGGGGAGCAAACAGG
rnacentral:rRNA from 1 species